UACGUAGGUGACGAGCGUUAUCCGGAAUUAUUGGGCGUAAAGCGCCCGCAGGCGGCUGUUCAAGUCUGACGUGAAAUCGCUCGGCUUAACUGGGCGGGGUCGUUGGAAACUGAAUAGCUCGAGGCAAGGAGAGGGGCGUGGAAUUCCCGGUGUAGUGGUGGAAUGCGUAGAUAUCAGGAGGAACACCAAUGGCGAAGGCAGAUCUCUGGGCCGUAACUGACGCUGAGGAGCGAAAGCAUGGGGAGCGAACAGG
rnacentral:rRNA from 1 species